GAAUAUUGCGCAAUGGACGAAAGUCUGACGCAGCGACGCCGCGUGUGGGAGGAAGCUCUUCGGGGUGUAAACCACUGUCAGAGGGGAAGAACGGCGUCUGGUCGAACAGGCCAGGCGAUUGACGGUACCCUCAAAGGAAGAGCCGGCUCACUCCGUCCCAGCAGCCGCGGUAAGACGGAGGGCGCAAGCGUUGUUCGGAAUUACUGGGCGUAAAGCGCGGGCAGGUGGUCUGUUAAGUCGUUUGUGAAAAUCCGGGGCUCAACCCCGUGAAAUGCGUACGAUACUGGCAGGCUGGAGAUCGGUAGAGGCUAGCGGAAUUCCUGGUGUAGCGGUGGAAUGCGUAGAGAUCAGGAAGAACACCCGUGGCGAAGGCGGCUAGCUGGGCCGAGUCUGACACUCAUCCGCGAAAGCGUGGGGAGCAAACAGG
rnacentral:rRNA from 1 species